rnacentral:rRNA from 1 species
UUUCAACAACGGAUCUCUUGGCUCUGGCAUCGAUGAAGAACGCANCGAAAUGCGAUAAGUAAUGUGAAUUGCANAAUUCAGUGAAUCAUCGAAUCUUUGAACGCACAUUGCGCCCCUUGGUAUUCCGAGGGGCAUGCCUAUUCNAGCGUCAUUA